CGCAGAGCUUUACUAUUACGACCCUGCCCGAUCUGUGUUUUUUUACUUUACGACACGAGUCCCCAUCCGAUUUGUCUCGCGCACGCGCUCUCUGCUUAAUUAAAAUUCAUUUCAUGACGCUAUCCGAUUUGUUCUGCGCAUGUCUAAUGUUUUACGACACACGUCUUUUGUCAGGUUUGACUUGUACUUGUGAGUCAUUUUUGUGUUGUCGUUUAUCUCCGUCUGUAAGUGGACUUGUUACUGGAAAAGAUGGAAACUUUUGAAUUUUAUAACGUCUUGGAAGAUGUGUCGCCUGAAAAAUUGAACUCCAGUCGAAUGAAGAGGGAGCGAAAUGAAAUGCGACGUGUGUCUGUGAACUUUAUAAUGGACAUGUGUAGCUUUUUGAUGCCCAGUGGUAACCAGCCUACCAUGUGGCUCAACAGAUGCCAGUGUACCCGAAUACUGAGACACAAUUGGAUGUUCUUUUCCUCUGCUUUUAAGAUUCCCAGUUUGGGAUAAUGUGCAGUUCAUGUUAGAUUUGCUAUUUCUACAGUUACAGUGAAGUAGAAGAGUCCGGUCGUGUUAUGGGGCAGCAGUUGAAGAAGAAUGAUGGAGAGAUGUGUGCCAUGUUGAAGUAUCGGCUGGUCCUCCUGCCCGCUCUUCUAGAAUCCUCCAUCUAAACCUCUGCUCUGAUCUGCUGUGCCUUUGCCAAGUGAUCACGAGUUUAUUGCAAUGGUGCUCCCCCUGCGUCUCCACCGUCUGUUAAAUCAACUCCAAGUGCCUGUGACAGAAGAAAAGUUCACAAGAUGUCCUGAAAUGGAAUUGUGAUUGGAGUGAAACGGCCACAAUUAUGUAUGUUGGGAUGUGCAGAGGGGUCUGUGUGGGCUUUAGCUUGGGACCCCCAGAGGUUUAUUAUCUCUGGCAACCUUGAAAGCUGCAAGUUUGUCUUUGUCCCCAGCCAUUUGACCAGGCAGUGUAUUUAUUACAAAGAAAAAGGACCCCUCCAUUUGCUUCUUAUUUACUUUUAUAAUACCUUCAAUUUUCUUUGUAACUGUAUAUUUUUGUAGAGCAAUUUGAGCUACACUUGUAAGCAAAGGUGAUAUAAAAAUAUUAUUAGUGAACAAAUGUUAAGGGACAGAUCAGGAAAAAUGUCUACAUUUUUAGUUUAAAUAGAACAAUGUUUUAUGAAAUAUUGCUGGAUAACAACUCUUUGACUCUGAGUAGCUUAGUAUCUUGUUCAUAAAGCUAAAAUAGCAUUUUUUCCUUUUUUGACAAAUUUAAUGAUUCACUUUUAUUGUGUUCAAAACCUUGGCUAACAUUUUUUUUAAAUACUAAGGUAAAAAUCUGUAAAUAUAUUUGUGUUCUCCUUCCCUAAUAGUUUUUAACACCUCCCCUUGUUGGCCAUUUUCAUUGUAGUUGUGUUCUACUUAAAUGCAUUCACCAUUUAUACAUCUUUAUGAUUACUGAAUUUUCUACUCAUAAUUCACAUACAGUAUAUAUACAUAUAAAUAUGGGUGUGUGUAUAAUUUUUUUUUUGAGAAACAUUGUUCACAGAUUUUUCACUUUUAUUUUUAAAUGUACCAUUUAUUUCUUCAUUAAAAAUGUAUGAAUAAGUGUAUCGUAUUUCCUUUUUUUUAAGUUAUAAAAAUGAACUGGCUCUGUAUCAAUAUGGGUGAAUAAAACCAUUGACAUGAGAUGUGUCUGCACACAAA